rnacentral:lncRNA from 1 species
GUCACAUGAUGGACAUGAUAUAAUGAAACAACAUUGUGGAGAGGAAAGCAUUAGGGGAGCCCACGGCUACAAAACAAGUGAGAAGAGGUGGGAGAAAGAGAAACUACGCCACCUCCUCUGCAGCCGAGCGCACGCAGCAGCCUGGCGUGACAAGUGGGCGACGCCAGGGACAGAGAGUGGGGGUCCUCCGCCCGCUCCGGGGACCCUGUCGCCCACCGUGGUGCGCUGAGCAACUUUUAGCCGGCAGCCCCGCACCUGUCUCAGAGUCCCCAUCGCUCCCCACCAACCAUCAUGGGAAAAUUCUAGAAGAAUACGCUCUCGGAAUCUACGUGCGCAUCAUUUUCCUCCUCACUCCAGAGGAAGGAACCAGAAAAGAGAGCAAAGCGGUGUAGUGUUCAGCCUCAAGGCAUCUCGUUGAUUCCUAGCGUUAGAAGAACUGAGCUAACAGGAGUCUGCCACCUCUCUGCCUUGCUGAUGCACCCAGGCAGGGCUCACUGGUUUGCAGGAGUACAUGACCACAGAUCAGAGCCAUUGGCUGCACAGAUACCUGACUCUGGGCUCUCAGGAAGACUCAGGCAGAGAUGGGGAGUCGGCCUGCAAGCUGGGACGCUAGAGCUCACGUGCAGUUCUCCAUUUAGCUAGGAGGUUUCCAGGGCAACCACCGAAGCAGUAAUUAAAGAUGAAGAGCUAAAAGGUAAGUACUUCCAAACCUGAAUCCUGAAGGAGGUGGUCCGCAGGCUGGUGUCACAGUGUGCACUCUUAUUCACUUAACAUUAAGUAAAUAAUUUUUUAAAUACAUUUUUGAAAACCUCUGAUGAGAGGAUACACACUAAAUUAGGAUGUUCAUGCUCUGCUUUGAUUUGUAUCUUUUCACGCGCGCACGUAUUCUUGUAUGUACGUACACACCACACACACACACACACAUUUUUAUGCUUCCACCAGCCAGUCAUGGGACCAGGCAUUGGGAUACCAGGGCUUAAGGUGUCUUUCGGGUUCCUGUUUUGAACGUCCUAGCAUGCAUGUAUAUAUAUAUACAUACAUACAUAUAUAUAUAUACACAUUUAAGGCAUGCAAACGAGCAACUGCAGAGGCGUCUACAGUACUUAGCGUGUAGCAGGAACAUCCAGGCUCUCCAGGCAGUUCACGGGUGCUUACACAGCCUGACGAGGUGCUCGCCGUGCCGCCAUCCUUUCCUUGAGCGAACUGUACCCUGGGUUAUGAACCUUGUUUGCCUGAUAGUUCAGGGCAUCAGUGCAGUAACAGGGCUGAUGAGAGAGAGCUCCACCAAAGCAGCAGCGCCAUUGAGAAGGUAGAAGACAGCUAUUUUAACGGAAGCUUCAGAAGCUCAUGAGUCUAUUCCCAGGAGUAUGGGUAAAGUUUGCUCAUGCAAAUGCUGCAUUUCAUGAGUCCAUGGGUUAAAGCAGUUACGGACCCUGGAAGAUGGGAGAUACUUACAAAAAGCAAAGCCCAGAUCUCCACACCUUCAAAGAGAAGAUGCUCAAAUCUCCAAUUUUCAGACCAGUGCUUUUUUCAGUUAUGCACUGGUAUAUGGCUGAAACUGUAGGUGGCAUGGGAGACUUUGGUAAGUGUAGGCCCUAGGAUAUCUGUCCCACCAUUUUCCCUGUAACAAAAGUAAGGAAUCUGUAAGAAAGAAAAAAAUAACACUUAAAAA